AAAUUAUUUAUUUAUGAAAAUCUUUUAUUUUUGAUUGUACUGUAUUUUUAUAUAAAUGCUUGAUAUUGUGAUAAAAUUAUUUCAAAUUAUUAUUUAAUAAGCUAUUUUAUUCUCUACUAAUCCCAUCAAUGAACAGUUUUAUUUGCUAUUUUGCCGGUGCCGGUCAAAUAGCCACUGCCUAUAUAUAUAGAGACAGUUGUCCCUCCCAAAUCACCAACCAUCACCCUCCUUC
rnacentral:lncRNA from 1 species